rnacentral:rRNA from 1 species
CCUACGGGGGGCUGCAGUGGGGAAUCUUGCGCAAUGGGCGAAAGCCUGACGCAGCAACGCCGCGUGCGGGAUGACGGCCUUCGUGGUUGUAAACCGCUUUCAGCAGGGACGAAAAUGACGGUACCUGCAGAAGAAGCCCCGGCUAACUACGUGCCAGCAGCCGCGGUAAUACGUAGGGGGCAAGCGUUGUCCGGAUUCAUUGGGCGUAAAGAGCUCGUAGGCGGUUCAGUAAGUCAGGUGUGAAAGCUCCGAGCUCAACUCGGAGAGGCCACCUGAUACUGCUGUGACUUGAGUCCAGUAGAGGAGCGUGGAACUCCUGGUGUAGCGGUGGAAUGCGCAGAUAUCAGGAAGAACACCUGCAGCGAAGGCGGCGCUCUGGGCUGGUACUGACGCUGAGGAGCGAAAGCAUGGGUAGCAAACAGGCUUAGAUACCCUUGUAGUC